AUUGAACGCUGGCGGCAUGCCUUACACAUGCAAGUCGAACGACAGCGGGGGAGAAGCUUGCUUUUCCUGCCGGCGAGUGGCGAAUGGGUGAGUAAUACAUCGGAACGUGCCCUGUAGUGGGGGAUAACUAGUCGAAAGAUUAGCUAAUACCGCAUACGACCUGAGGGUGAAAGUGGGGGACCGCAAGGCCUCAUGCUAUAGGAGCGGCCGAUGUCUGAUUAGCUAGUUGGUGGGGUAAAGGCCUACCAAGGCGACGAUCAGUAGCUGGUCUGAGAGGACGAUCAGCCACACGGGGACUGAGACACGGCCCAGACUCCUACGGGAGGCAGCAGUGGGGAAUUUUGGACAAUGGGCGAAAGCCUGAUCCAGCAAUGCCGCGUGUGUGAAGAAGGCCUUCGGGUUGUAAAGCACUUUUGUCCGGAAAGAAAUGGCUCUGGUUAAUACCUGGGGUCGAUGACGGUACCGGAAGAAUAAGGACCGGCUAACUACGUGCCAGCAGCCGCCGUAA
rnacentral:rRNA from 1 species